UACGGGGGGGCAAGCGUUGUUCGGAAUUACUGGGCGUAAAGGGCUCGUAGGUGGCCAACUAAGUCAGACGUGAAAUCCCUCGGCUUAACCGGGGAACUGCGUCUGAUACUGGAUGGCUUGAGUCGGGAGAGGAUGGCGGAAUUCCAGGUGUAGCGGUGAAAUGCGUAGAUAUCUGGAGGAACACCGGUGGCGAAGGCGGGCACUGGACAG
rnacentral:rRNA from 1 species